rnacentral:rRNA from 1 species
CAGGAUGAACGCUAGCGGCAGGCUUAACACAUGCAAGUCGAGGGGCAGCGCGGGGCGGCAACGUCCUGGCGGCGACCGGCGGAAGGGUGCGUAACGCGUGAGCGACAUGCCCGUUGCCCGGGGACAACCGGUGGAAACGCCGACUAAUCCCCGAUGGGACGGAGGCCCUCAUGGGUCUCUGUUGAAAGUUACGGCGGCGACGGAUUGGCUCGCGUCCGAUUAGCUUGUUGGCGGGGUAACGGCCCACCAAGGCUACGAUCGGUAGGGGUUCUGAGAGGAAGGUCCCCCACAAUGGAACUGAGACACGGUCCAUACUCCUACGGGAGGCAGCAGUGAGGAAUAUUGGUCAAUGGGCGGAAGCCUGAACCAGCCAUGCCGCGUGCGGGAAGGAGGCCCUAUGGGCUGUGAACCGCUUUUGCCUGGGGGCAAUAAGGGCGUCGCGCACGUCCGAUGAGAGUACCAGGGGAAUAAGCAUCGGCUAACUCCGUGCCAGCAGCCGCGGUAAUACGGGGGAUGCGAGCGUUAUCCGGAUUCAUUGGGUUUAAAGGGUGCGUAGGCUGUGCGUCAAGUCAGGGGUGAAAUUCCGGGGCUCAACUCCGGGGCUGCCCUUGAUACUGUCGCGCUGGAGUGCGGAUGCCGCCGGAGGAAUGAGUGGUGUAGCGGUGAAAUGCUUAGAUAUCACUCAGAACACCGAUUGCGAAGGCAUCUGGCGAAUCCGUAACUGACGCUGAGGCACGAAAGCGUGGGGAUAGAACAGGAUUAGAUACCCUGGUAUUCCACGCCGUAAACGAUGAUGGCUAACCGCCGGCGACAUACUGUCGGUGGCCAAGCGAAAGCGAUAAGCCAUCCACCUGGGGAGUACGUCGGCAACGAUGCAACUCAAAG